rnacentral:tRNA from 1 species
GAGGGUAUAGUUCAUUUGUAGAGUACGGGUUUAGCAUGCCCAAGGUCCUGGGUUCAGUCCCCGGUACCUCCA